AAGAAGGAGGCUCCUAUUGGGAAGAGAAUGUAGAGAUAUAAUAACAUGUAGAGAUACUCAGACAGGAGGGGAAGAAGAACCAAAGCUACUCACACACAAAGACUUAGUAAUAAUGACUGAUAACUUCAGAGAGGAGAACUGCAUUGGGACUUAUCAGUUCGGUAAGCUUUUUCAUGGGGUUCUUAAUGAUCAACACUUCACUAUCAAGACAUGGGAUGCACCAGAAAUAAAUGCAUAUAUCAUUGGAAAUCAUGAACGCAGAUUGAUGGAUGAACUCAUUAUGCUCUUGUGCAUCCAUGCAUUCCCAUAUUGUUUGGAUAUUGUCGAGACAAAGACCAUCCACCUGCU